CUGAAGCUGUCUGUAUACAGGGAUACAAACCCACCCUCAACUGUAAAUCCAAAUGGGGUAACUCCCAGAUUCCACUCAGGAGUACUCAUCUAUAAUCACCCCUUUCUCUCAUUUAACAUGUAGAAAUUCAUACAUACAUGUUGAGAUGCAUGAUACUGAAAUACAUAUAUGUAGUUAUAUAUAAUCAUAUGAGUGUACAAAGAUUAAUAUGUAUGUGUUCUGUUAUGUGA